GACGUAGGGGGCGAGCGUUGUCCGGAUUUAUUGGGCGUAAAGCGCGCGUAGGCGGCCGCGCAAGUCGGAUGUGAAAACCCGCGGCUCAACCGCGGGCCUGCAGCCGAUACGGGCAGGCUAGAGUUCGGUAGGGGAGACUGGAAUUCCUGGUGUAGCGGUGAAAUGCGCAGAUAUCAGGAAGAACACCCGUGGCGAAGGCGGCUCUCUGGGACGGUACUGACGCUGAGACGCGAAAGCGUGGGGAGCGAACAGG
rnacentral:rRNA from 1 species